rnacentral:sRNA from 1 species
UUUUGGAAUUAGUGGUUCAGACAUUUCAUCGAACACCUUUUGGGCGCGGAAAUAUCUUGGCUCAAUUUCCAGUUGAUCAGAAAGCAAUAGGCAUUAAGAACAACUAAUCCAUAACGAUCUAUAAAUCAAAGUCAACCACCUAGCAUACUGAGAAUUCUAAACUACUCUAACCUAUCCUCAGAAACCUACUCACUACUCAGACAUCAUUGUAGAGAACAUAAACGAUGAAUAGAAUGAAAACAUAAUAGCAACAUACUAAUAGCAAGAUGACAACAGGAUGAACAACUUAGUAAACGAAAAUGGAAAGCAAAUACUGAAUACUGAAUAGAUUAAGAGAAAUCCGGAUUACAAAAACUUCAAGAACACAGUGUCUGCGGAAUAAAACUUAGUCAACA